ACGGGUGAGUAAUGCCUAGGAAUCUGCCUGGUAGUGGGGGACAACGUUUCGAAAGGAACGCUAAUACCGCAUACGUCCUACGGGAGAAAGCAGGGGACCUUCGGGCCUUGCGCUAUCAGAUGAGCCUAGGUCGGAUUAGCUAGUUGGUGAGGUAAUGGCUCACCAAGGCGACGAUCCGUAACUGGUCUGAGAGGAUGAUCAGUCACACUGGAACUGAGACACGGUCCAGACUCCUACGGGAGGCAGCAGUGGGGAAUAUUGGACAAUGGGCGAAAGCCUGAUCCAGCCAUGCCGCGUGUGUGAAGAAGGUCUUCGGAUUGUAAAGCACUUUAAGUUGGGAGGAAGGGUUGUAGAUUAAUACUCUGCAAUUUUGACGUUACCGACAGAAUAAGCACCGGCUAACUCUGUGCCAGCAGCCGCGGUAAUACAGAGGGUGCAAGCGUUAAUCGGAAUUACUGGGCGUAAAGCGCGCGUAGGUGGUUCGUUAAGUUGGAUGUGAAAUCCCCGGGCUCAACCUGGGAACUGCAUCCAAAACUGGCGAGCUAGAGUAUGGUAGAGGGGUGGUGGAAUUUCCUGUGUAGCGG
rnacentral:rRNA from 1 species